rnacentral:rRNA from 1 species
UAGGGAAUAUUGGGCAAUGGAUGCAAGUCUGACCCAGCCAUGCCGCGUGCCGGAUGAAGGCCCUCAGGGUUGUAAACGGCUUUUAUUCGGGAAGAAGAAUAGGGAUGCGUCCUUAUGUGACGGUACCGAAUGAAUAAGCACCGGCUAACUCCGUGCCAGCAGCCGCGGUAAUACGGAGGGUGCGAGCGUUGUCCGGAUUUAUUGGGUUUAAAGGGUGCGUAGGUGGCUGAUUAAGUCAGUGGUGAAAUACAGCCGCUCAACGGUUGAGGUGCCAUUGAUACUGAUCAGCUUGAAAUAAUUGGAGGCUGCCGGAAUGGAUGGUGUAGCGGUGAAAUGCAUAGAUAUCAUCCAGAACACCGAUUGCGAAGGCAGGUGGCUACGAUUUAUUUGACACUGAGGCACGAAAGCAUGGGGAGCAAACAG